CCCAAGGAUGAACCAGACUUGUGGAGGUCUACAAUUUUUUUCUGAAGUCUUGGCUGAUUUCUUUUGAUUUUCCCCUGAUGUCAAGGAAAGAGGCAUUGAGUUUGAAGAUGCAUUCAAGCAGCACUUUGAGAGAAAGCAUCCCAAGUCCCCAACGGUCCCAGUACUGGUUGAUGUUCAGGCCUAAGGGACACCACACACUCAAAUGGGCCUACAACCAGGACACACCAUGAUGACCACAAUUUGAAUGAUGCAAUUGAGACGGAAUGACAUGAGGGACCCUGAGUAUGACUGGACAUGGACCGGAUAUUUGUGACAACGACCUAGAAGGGGUGCAGGAACAUUUUAUGUUUAAACCAUAGCUAAGCAUCUCUCUAGGUACCCCUUAUUCCACACUGUCUUUUAUAUUCCCUCAACUUUGGACACUUUGGAACUCUCCAUCUUAGCUCUGUAAACCCUCCUUACCUUCACCCAUUUUCCAUAUGCUGCUUCCUUCACU